rnacentral:rRNA from 1 species
GAUAAACGCUGGCGGCGUGCCUAAUACAUGCAAGUCGAGCGAACGGACGAGAAGCUUGCUUCUCUGAUGUUAGCGGCGGACGGGUGAGUAACACGUGGAUAACCUACCUAUAAGACUGGGAUAACUUCGGGAAACCGGAGCUAAUACCGGAUAAUAUUUUGAACCGCAUGGUUCAAAAGUGAAAGACGGUCUUGCUGUCACUUAUAGAUGGAUCCGCGCUGCAUUAGCUAGUUGGUAAGGUAACGGCUUACCAAGGCAACGAUGCAUAGCCGACCUGAGAGGGUGAUCGGCCACACUGGAACUGAGACACGGUCCAGACUCCUACGGGAGGCAGCAGUAGGGAAUCUUCCGCAAUGGGCGAAAGCCUGACGGAGCAACGCCGCGUGAGUGAUGAAGGUCUUCGGAUCGUAAAACUCUGUUAUUAGGGAAGAACAUAUGUGUAAGUAACUGUGCACAUCUUGACGGUACCUAAUCAGAAAGCCACGGCUAACUACGUGCCAGCAGCCGCGGUAAUACGUAGGUGGCAAGCGUUAUCCGGAAUUAUUGGGCGUAAAGCGCGCGUAGGCGGUUUUUUAAGUCUGAUGUGAAAGCCCACGGCUCAACCGUGGAGGGUCAUUGGAAACUGGAAAACUUGAGUGCAGAAGAGGAAAGUGGAAUUCCAUGUGUAGCGGUGAAAUGCGCAGAGAUAUGGAGGAACACCAGUGGCGAAGGCGACUUUCUGGUCUGUAACUGACGCUGAUGUGCGAAAGCGUGGGGAUCAAACAGGAUUAGAUACCCUGGUAGUCCACGCCGUAAACGAUGAGUGCUAAGUGUUAGGGGGUUUCCGCCCCUUAGUGCUGCAGCUAACGCAUUAAGCACUCCGCCUGGGGAGUACGACCGCAAGGUUGAAACUCAAAGGAAUUGACGGGGACCCGCACAAGCGGUGGAGCAUGUGGUUUAAUUCGAAGCAACGCGAAGAACCUUACCAAAUCUUGACAUCCUUUGACAACUCUAGAGAUAGAGCCUUCCCCUUCGGGGGACAAAGUGACAGGUGGUGCAUGGUUGUCGUCAGCUCGUGUCGUGAGAUGUUGGGUUAAGUCCCGCAACGAGCGCAACCCUUAAGCUUAGUUGCCAUCAUUAAGUUGGGCACUCUAAGUUGACUGCCGGUGACAAACCGGAGGAAGGUGGGGAUGACGUCAAAUCAUCAUGCCCCUUAUGAUUUGGGCUACACACGUGCUACAAUGGACAAUACAAAGGGCAGCGAAACCGCGAGGUCAAGCAAAUCCCAUAAAGUUGUUCUCAGUUCGGAUUGUAGUCUGCAACUCGACUACAUGAAGCUGGAAUCGCUAGUAAUCGUAGAUCAGCAUGCUACGGUGAAUACGUUCCCUGGUCU